rnacentral:rRNA from 1 species
AACGAACGCUGGCGGCAUGCCUAACACAUGCAAGUCGAACGAGACCUUCGGGUCUAGUGGCGCACGGGUGCGUAACGCGUGGGAACCUGCCCUUAGGUUCGGAAUAACUCCCCGAAAGGGGUGCUAAUACCGGAUAAUGUCUUCGGACCAAAGAUUUAUCGCCUUUGGACGGGCCCGCGUUGGAUUAGCUAGUUGGUAGGGUAAAAGCCUACCAAGGCGACGAUCCAUAGCUGGUCUGAGAGGAUGAUCAGCCACACUGGGACUGAGACACGGCCCAGACUCCUACGGGAGGCAGCAGUGGGGAAUAUUGGACGAUGGGCGAAAGCCUGAUCCAGCAAUGCCGCGUGAGUGAUGAAGGCCUUAGGGUUGUAAAGCUCUUUUACCCGGGAUGAUAAUGACAGUACCGGGAGAAUAAGCUCCGGCUAACUCCGUG